rnacentral:lncRNA from 1 species
GGGAACUGGGUAGGGUCAGCUGGUGAUUUUUCUGCUUCACUCGGUGUGGACAGAAGGCAUUCAGUGUUAAUCAGCUGACUGACUAGGAGAGUCCAAGAUGGCGUCACUCACAUGUCUGGGGCCUUGUGGGGACGGCUAGAAGCCUGGGCUCAGCAGGGACUGUCCACUGAGUGCUUCCUUGUGGCCUGUCCGGCACGGAGGCCUUGGGGUAGUUAGAAUUCUCACAUGGCAGCUCAGAGCUCCAACAGUGAGUGUUCAGCAAACAAAGCAGACGCUGUAAGCCCCUUUAUGACAGCCUGGGACGUCAGCUGCUCUGUCAGUCGGGGCAGCCUCAAGCCUUCCCAGAUUCAAGUGAGCUUCGUGGGAGAUGUAGUGUAGAAUUCGUGGCCAUAUUUUCCUAUUGCCUCUUUACCCCACGGCUCUUCCAGAGAAAGUUUGCCCUGUGACCUGAGCCAGAACACACCCCAACCCUCUCUGGAGAGAAGCAGAGUCGGGGAAAGAAGAGAUUUCAUAGUGUGGACAGUGUUGGCUCUUCAGCGCCGAGGCCUCUCGAGCGUUGGUUUGCGUUUCUCACAGGCGGAGAGCACAGCAGGAAGGCCUGCUGCAGGAAGAGGAAGGACUUAAGGGGGAGGACUUCCAGGCAGGGAGGAGGUAGACAAGUCAGAGGAGGCUCCCAGAGGCUGUGUCCUUUUCUGCCUUUUGGCCUUUCUGAGAAUAGCAAGAUGGAGAUCUGAGCUUUUAGCUCCCAAGGUCCUGCCAGAUCCCAGAAAGCACAAAUCGGAGAUGGGCCAACCUAAGGGCUGUCUGCGAUGGCGGAUGAGGGAAGAUGGCCUUGCGACUUACUCACUCUGUUGGUUGCCUUUGCUGCUGACACCCAUCAGCUGCACUCUGCUUGCUCAUAGAACCCUGGUUUGGUUCAGGUCCCCGUGUGAGGACACAAUGCUGGGACUGCAGCUGCUAUCUAGACA